CCUACGGGCGGCUGCAGUGGGGAAUAUUGGACAAUGGGGGGAACCCUGAUCCAGCCAUGCUGCGUGUGUGAAGAAGGCCCUCGGGUUGUAAAGCACUUUCAGUGAGGAAGAACGCCUGGUGGUUAAUACCCAUCAGGAAAGACAUCACUCACAGAAGAAGCACCGGCUAACUCCGUGCCAGCAGCCGCGGUAAUACGGAGGGUGCGAGCGUUAAUCGGAAUUACUGGGCGUAAAGCGCGCGUAGGUGGCUUGAUAAGCCGGUUGUGAAAGCCCCGGGCUCAACCUGGGAACGGCAUCCGGAACUGUCAAGCUAGAGUGCAGGAGAGGAAGGUAGAAUUCCCGGUGUAGCGGUGAAAUGCGUAGAGAUCGGGAGGAAUACCAGUGGCGAAGGCGGCCUUCUGGACUGACACUGACACUGAGGUGCGAAAGCGUGGGUAGCAAACAGGAUUAGAUACCCCUGUAGUC
rnacentral:rRNA from 1 species